AGAAUGGCAACCAAAGUGAUAGCAGAAGUUGGCCAUGAUGGUGAUGGCCCAGGAUACCAUGGUGUCAGUAAAGAAGCCCCUGGUGGCUGACAGCAACAGCAUCGAUCCUCCUAUUGGCACCCGAUGACAGAAAGGCCAACACUUCUGAGGUGCCUGCAUGACAAGAUGGGAAACCAUUCAAACAAACCAUGAUGGUCCCUGCGGGAAACCCAGAGCCCUGAAGUUGAGAAACAACCAUCUGACCUUCAUUUGGGACCAAAUUAGAGAAAGGCAACCCAGGCGAUAGCAGAAGUUGGCUAUGAUGGUGAUAACCCGG